CCUCCCCCCAAAAUACAGCACAGUCAGCAGCAGUGCAGGCUUCGCCAUGCUGCUCCACCAGUGAGUCUUAGCUCUGCCCUGGAGGGACCAUUGCUAGGAAUAGGAGGCUG
rnacentral:sRNA from 1 species